CAAGAACUUUCUCUGUGACCCG
rnacentral:miRNA from 1 species